UACAGAGGUCUCAAGCGUUGUUCGGAUUCAUUGGGCGUAAAGGGUGCGUAGGCGGCGCGGUAAGUCGGGUGUGAAAUCUCGGAGCUUAACUCCGAAACUGCAUUCGAUACUGCCGGUGCUUGAGGACUGGAGAGGAGACUGGAAUUUACGGUGUAGCGGUGAAAUGCGUAGAUAUCGUAAGGAAGACCAGUGGCGAAGGCGGGUCUCGUGGACAGUUCCUGACACUGAGGCACGAAGGCCCAGGGGGAGCAAAACGGG
rnacentral:rRNA from 1 species